AUUGAACGCUUGCGGCAUGCUUUACACAUGCAAGUCGAACGGUAACAGGCCGCAAGGUGCUGACGAGUGGCGAACGGGUGAGUAAUGCAUCGGAACGUGCCCAGUCGUGGGGGAUAACUGCUCGAAAGAGCAGCUAAUACCGCAUACGAUCUAUGGAUGAAAGCGGGGGACCGUAAGGCCUCGCGCGAUUGGAGCGGCCGAUGUCAGAUUAGGUAGUUGGUGGGGUAAAGGCUCACCACGCCAACGAUCUGUAGCUGGUCUGAGAGGACGACCAGCGACACUGGGACGAGGAGCAUGCCCAGACUCCUACGGGAGGCACCAGUGGGUAAUUUGGGACAAUGGGUGGAACCCUGAUCCAGCAAUGCCGCAUGCAGGAAGAAGGCCUUCUGGUUGUAAACUGCUUUUGUACGGAACCAAACUGUCUGGGUUAAUACCCUGGGCUAAUGACGGUACCGUAAGAAUAAGCACCGGCUAACUACGUGCAAGCCGCCGCCGUAACAC
rnacentral:rRNA from 1 species